GCCAGACCGCCCCGCCGGGAUGUGGCCCCCUAUUCCGGCCCCCGACACCCUACCUCACGGGGCACUGCCCAAGCAGGGGCCGCACCAGUAGGUACGCAAGGGCGCGGCACGCGCCACCCGCCCCGAAAGACCCCCGCCAGGACCGGCCCGGCCAGCAGGCCAAGCACCCCGGGCCCCAGGAGCACCCCCCGGGACCAGGACCCCCCAAGGGCAAGCCCCCGGGCCAAGCCCCCCGGGACGCAUCCCCCACCCCCGCCCGGGACCCGGCCACGGCCCAGCAGGACCGCACAGCCCCGGACAGCCCACGGCCAGCAGCCCAGGGCCCGCCGCCCCCCGGACAGCGCCAGCCACGGAGCAGCGCCCCCCGCCGGCCCGCGAGCAACCGGCGAUCCCCACCGCGGGGACGGAGGCACCCCAACGGCACACAUCAAGUGCGGGACAGCAGCCCCCAGCCAAAGAUGCCCCGGACCCACCCACCAGUCCGCAAACGGCAGGAUAGACCCACCAGGCGGCCGACAGCAACCUCCACCACCGGAACAGCUAGCGCCGCCCCCCAGUAAACAGCAUCACCCCGAGGCGCCAAGCAACCCCGCCCCAACCCCGGCGAGGACACCAGCACCCCCCCAGCACACCCACCCCCCAAACCGGCGAGGCAGGCCGCCCCGGGCCCGCACACCGCGGGGCCCGCCCCCAAGGCCACCAGGAGACAAAGCAAGCACCAAGCCACACCCAAGGGGGAGAGGCACCCCCGCGCCCCACCCGGCCGACACAGCCCGGAAAGACCCCGCAAGGAGAGACCCCGGCAAAGCCCCCCCGAGACCCACCGCCACGCCCGACCGCACCAUCUUGAUGUGCUUUUGCUCUAUGCAGUGGCCCAGCCACCAACAGAGGGGCCAGGCCCCCACCGGAGAGGCCCAAAUAUGUGUACCAACCCACCACCCUCUUAUGGUGCCUCUCCAUUCCCCAAUGGAGAGGCACUUCCCGAUCCCCUGUGUGAAUGUGUGUGUUUGGUGAAUGUAUGGGGUGUAAUUAAAAGAAGGGGGAUGGAGGGGAGCGGUGCUCCCCCUCCAGCCUCUGUGGAUUUAUGUGUAUGUGGUGUAAUAGGCCGGAGGGUGUAAAAGAUGAUACACCCUCCGGGGGGUGACAUGUUGAGAUGCGAUUAAAAUUGGAGGGAUUAGUAGGGCAACUAGAGGUGGGAGGGCCGCCCCCACGCCACUACAUAGUAACACAGGUGGCGGCCCCCUCCACCCCCAGCCCCACCAUCCAGCCCCCCAAGGGUUGGGUAUUGGUGUGUGGUGCAUUUUGUGAGUGAGCCAGACCAGCUGGGAGUGGGGUGAAGUGAACAUGUAGGAGGCCUGUCCAGUGUGAGCCGGGCCCGUCCGCGUGGCGGGCCACGCGAGAGGGUAGAUGGCGCAGACGGGCAAGUGGCACUGCGGGCCCCGGAACAGCACAGCCGGAGACCCCCCCCCCACGGCAC
ensembl:lncRNA